CCCCUCUCAGGAUUGCACCUGGAGAGUUUCCACUACUCUAGCAGUCUCAGCUAUGGGAGGGAGAGUCAAGCAGAGGCAUACCCAUUCCAUUCCUGGCUUAGGCAGUGGCUAGUGAGUGGAAGGCAAUCUGCUACAAGU